rnacentral:rRNA from 1 species
AUGCGGGCACUCACGGAGAAGAACAACAUGCUGUCUCGUGAGCUGGAAGGGUGUCGGGCCCAGCUAGCUGUUGUUACCGCCGAACUAGAGAAAUCCAAGGAGGCGCCGCCUGGAUCGUUAGAUCAACUAAAAGAGGAACUGAAGGUCGCGCAGGCAGGUAAACAUCAGGCCGAAAAGCAACUGGCCGCUGGCGAACGUGUGUUGACACGGACCAGGGAUGAUAAGAACAAGCUGCAGGAUUCCAACACCCUACUAGGCGAAGAGCUAAAAGACGUGCGAGCCCAGCUAGCGGAUGCCGUAAAAGAGAACAGGAGGCUACGGGGCGGCAUAUUCAGUAUGCUGACUGGCCGGCCCGAAGAGAAAAUGUCCAGAGCUCAAGGCGAUCUGCUGCAAGAGCUGUCGCAAGUGUACGAGCGAGCUCGGAAAGCGAUGCGGAGUGUCGCCAAGGCUUUAUGGCCAUCCGAAUCCCCUCCAGGAAGUAUGGAGGAGCUUGUGAAGCUAUUCAAGGGAGCUCGGCGCCGCUUUAGAUUAUGGAAGAUAUCGGCUUGA